GAUGAACGCUGGCGGCGUGCCUAAUACAUGCAAGUCGAGCGAACAGAUCCGGAGCUUGCUCCUUUGACGUUAGCGGCGGACGGGUGAGUAACACGUGGGUAACCUACCUAUAAGACUGGAAUAACUCCGGGAAACCGGGGCUAAUGCCGGAUAACAUUUAGAACCGCAUGGUUCUAAAGUGAAAGAUGGUUUUACUAUCACUUAUAGAUGGACCCGCGCCGUAUUAGCUAGUUGGUAAGGUAACGGCUUACCAAGGCAACGAUACGUAGCCGACCUGAGAGGGUGAUCGGCCACACUGGAACUGAGACACGGUCCAGACUCCUACGGGAGGCAGCAGUAGGGAAUCUUCCGCAAUGGGCGAAAGCCUGACGGAGCAACGCCGCGUGAGUGAUGAAGGUCUUCGGAUCGUAAAACUCUGUUAUUAGGGAAGAACAAAUGUGUAAGUAACUGUGCACGUCUUGACGGUACCUAAUCAGAAAGCCACGGCUAACUACGUG
rnacentral:rRNA from 1 species